AUGUCAAUGCUAGGGCAUUUUCUUAACAAAUUCUUGAACCUCUCCCAUACCUUAGGAUAGCUCUCAUAAUCUUUUUGCUUGAAAGGGUAGACUUCAUAGCUGAUUU
rnacentral:snoRNA from 1 species